GCAGGUUUGUGACGCGUACCGGCGUGUGGAACGCAGUGUGGGCGCGCUGUGCUGGUGAAGAGCUUCUGGUUUCCGGAGGCGCUGUCCGAGCGUCCUGUACUUUCCUCCUUGGUACUCCGAGCCUGGUCACGGCGGGAGAGCUGUUCCUGCAGCCGUAGGUCACCCUAGUGGUGGGAGCCGAGGGAUGGGCCGCAGCCGGCUGUAUACGGUCACCUUCUAGCCCCCAUUAGCAGUACCAGCCCCUGUCUCUGCCACUGAGGUGAGCUUUCCGAAUUGAAGGGUGAAUUGAACAAUAAGAAGAAAGAGAAACCCACAGAAGAAGGUCAUUGCCGCCAUGACCGCUGGAGAAGAUGGGAGGUGAUGAGAAUUGCUCUCCUAGCUUUGUCUUGUACAUGUGACACAGAUACACCGCGUUCUACAGCCUAUUGUAGUGUAUAUUGAUCACUAUGGGAUGAGGUGGAAGCCAGUGCAGUGGGCGUGCCUUCUCUGAUGGGCGAGUCUCACCCUAACGGUUCCUUGUGCGACCUGAAUCCACAACCAACGGCGAGAUGUUCCGGUGAUUCUCUGGUUCCUGACCUCUGCAAGAAACCUCAGGCUGUGUCCACCUGUAAGGAAGAGGGGGGGCACAGGGCAGUCUCCAGAGAUGGGGUCACCUCUCCUGUACCCGGUGUACAUUCGGGUCAUGGGCAUUAGGUCUUUCCAUUGUGUCUGCGAUGUUGACAUCACUGAAGCACGCGCCGCAAUGCGUGGAUGAAGAAGGAAGGAGAGAAAAUGCAAAAAGAUGGAGCUUUUAUGGCGACUUAGUAACCCUCUGCGUUGGUGGAUCCCGGAAUGAAAGCACAAGUGGGAGCAUGGCACUGUAAGCCUCUACGUUGCUGGAUUCCGGAGUGGAAGCACAAGUGGGAGCAUGGCACUGUAAGCCUCUGCGUUGCUGGAUCCCGGAGUGGGAGCAUGGCACUGUAAGCCUCUGCGUUGCUGGAUCCCGGAGUGGGAGCAUGGCACUGUAAGCCUCUGCGUUGCUGGAUCCCGGAGUGGGAGCAUGGCACUGUAAGCCUCUGCGUUGCUGGAUCCCGGAGUGGGAGCAUGGCACUGUAAGCCUCUGCGUUGCUGGAUCCCGGAGUGGGAGCAUGGCACUGUAAGCCUCUGCGUUGCUGGAUCCCGGAGUGGGAGCGUGGCACUGUAAGCCUCUGCGUUGCUGGAUCCCGGAGUGGGAGCGUGGCACUGUAAGCCUCUAUAUUGGUGGAAGCACAAGUGGGGGCGUGGCACUGUAAGCCUCUAUAUUGGUGGAAGCACAAGUGGGGGCGUGGCACUGUAAGCCUCUAUAUUGGUGGAAGCACAAGUGGGGGUGUGGCACUGUAAGCCUUUUUUGCGUUGGUGGAUCCUGGAGUGGAAGCACAAGUGGGGGUGUGGCACUAAAUCCUGUCACUGGCCCCGCCCCCAGGUGCACGAUGCUGCAGUUCACCCCAAAUAGCCUCAUCAAGAGCCCAGAACCAUUCGCGUCACUGGGGAUCUGGGAGCCUGGUCUGUUAUUACCAGGAGUUCACGGAAUUGUGGAGUAUCUGGAGCAUUGCAGGAGAGGAGGCGAGGAUGAAUGGUUAUGGGGGUGGGAUGUGAAGUGUUGUAGGUUGAACUUACUGUAGUAGUUGGAUCCAGACUCCACCAGUACACUUGUUGGGCGCAGUUCUAAUAGCCGUGUAGUUAUUGCACACUUAGGAAUGCAUGUGGCGGACACCUAUAAAGGAGCAGGUCAACCCCACAUUCUCUACCAAUAAACCUUUGUGUCCCUGUUCUGUAACAAUGUAUAUAAUACUAUAAAACAGAAUUGCUACUCCUGUUGUAAUUGCUGAAUUCUACAAUUGAAAAGUUGAGUUUUGCAAAAACCACGAUAGUGAGUGUCCUCUCCCCGGAGUGAAAGCUCUCACACAUAUUAAGUGAAGAAUCACUGUAGACCAGAAAGUGAGGUCAGUUACUGCAGUACCACAUGUGCCCACCAGGUGCCACUGCAGAGCCGUUACACUUACCUCUUUCUGUUUUGUCCUGUAGAACAUAGAACUGUGACCUAUGCUAGGACACUUGCCGUAUAGUAGAACAAUCCUAUUGCACACUGGGUGGGGUGAAAUGUAUAAGGUGUAAUUCUAUACUUAUUACGUAUGGAUUAAGCUGAUAAUGUAAAGGAAAUAAAAAGAAUGCAUAAGACAAA